rnacentral:rRNA from 1 species
AUUAAGCUUUGUGCGCUUUGGGAGGGGCCUGCGUAACAUUAGCUUUGUUGGUGAGGUAAAAGCCCACCAAGGUUUCGAUGUUUAACUGGUUUGAGAGGAUGACCAGUCACACUGGGACUGAGAUACGGCCCAGACUCCUACGGGAGGCAGCAGUAAGGAAUCUUCCACAAUGGGGCAACCCUGAUGGAGCAAUACCGCGUGCAGGAUGAAGCGUUUCGGCGUGUAAGCUGCUUUUAUCACCGAAGAUUAUGACUGUAGGUGAAGAAUAAGGACCGGCUAACUACGUG